UACGGGGGGGGCAAGCGUUGUUCGGAAUUACUGGGCGUAAAGGGCUCGUAGGUUGCCAACUAAGUCGGACGUGAAAUCCCUCAGCUUAACUGGGGAACUGCGUCCGAUACUGGAUGGCUUGAGUUUGGGAGAGGGAUGCGGAAUUCCAGGUGUAGCGGUGAAAUGCGUAGAGAUCAUGAGGAAGACCAGUGGCGAAGGCGGGUCUCUGGACAGUUCCUGACACUGAGACACGAAGGCCAGGGGAGCAAACGGG
rnacentral:rRNA from 1 species